rnacentral:lncRNA from 1 species
UAAGUAAAAUCCAGAAAUUCCAUUGCAACACUCUAUUGGCAGUUAGACACAUAAACUCCAGAACAAUACCUUAUGAAAAGAUGACCACAAUAGACAUUUAAAAAGCAAGUCAACAAUAUUUAAAUUAACAAAGAUAGUGAUGAGAGAAGAGGGGUUAUGUAACUUAAUAAUAAACAAUGACCUUAAACACAAUUCCUACAAUAAUAAACACAGUGAGCCUAAACACAAUUCCUUCAAGAAAUCCAGAACCUGUAGAUUGAUUGUUCUACAUAUUAGUUUCACAAUCAACAUAGUGGAAAUUAUAUAAUAAAAAUCACCUAGUCCAAUAAAUAAACAGUUCAAUUAUAUAAGUCAAACAUAAAUUAAGGGAGUAAAUGAGAGGAAUAGAUACACCAUUAACUUUGAUAUUGAUUUCAUAAACAAAACUUAUUAAAAGUACACCCUGAAGUAUAAACUCAUAAAUUAGAUUGUGCUUACUUAACAAAUCAGAAACAAAUACAUUAGCCUUAAUGAUAGAUUGUACCUCUGAAUCAUUUGUCUUGGCUAAGAAGGAAUGAAACUAGAGCAAACCUACUAAAAUUUUACCAACCGCAACAGAACCAUUGUGAUUACCUAGUUCGAGCAAAUGCAUUGCACGGCUAACAUUACUAUGGUCAUUGAAAUCUAAGAUCUUCUAAUACAAAAACAAACAUGCAGUCAGAAUUUAGAAAACUUACAACUUUCAAGCUAACAUUAAACUUUAUCAUGCUAAGUAUCACCACCAUGUACCCUUACUAUCACUAAGUUUCACUCUUUCAAUAUAAACAUUCACCAAACACACACACACACACACAAAAAUUUCCACAGUUUCACCAUAUGAGGACAUUAAGUAAAAAAAACAGCCAAAUAUGAAACAAAAACCUUAACUUCUUAAUAAGGGAUAAAUAUUGUGUCAAACUAAGAUAAGAAUAACAAACAAAUUGUUAAGCCUUGAUGUGUUAUUCUUAAUAAGGGAUAAAUUUUGUGUAAAACCAAUAUAGAAACACUUCAAUUAUGAAAUUGAAAGUGAAAAUAAACAGAAACCAAAUAAAGGUACAUGAAUUUAGUCCAUGUAAGUUGAAAGAAGCAUCACAAAGAAAGCAAGAGAGGAAGAAAC